UCAAGACCGUGAGUGCUAGCCAAUAUUUACACUUUGUGUAUAUAUAUAUAUAUAUAUAUAUAUAUAUAUAUAUAUAUACACAAAGUGUAAAUAUUGGCUAGCACUCACGGUAUAAA